rnacentral:lncRNA from 1 species
CCUCCCCACCCGAUUUUUAUUUUCUUUCAUUUCCUUUUUCUUGGGGUGGGAGGGGGAUGGGUGCCUAGGAGAUGGGGAGAACAUUCGGCUGGGCUGAGAGGAGUUAGAUUCCUGUAGGUACAAACUCACUGGCAGAUUCUUUACAGCCCAGACUCAGGAACUGGUGGCUGUUCUUGCACGUAGAACAGUAAACGUUGGUAGGUUUACAAAUGACAAAAGCACCUCUACCUCCUCCUAAGGAGACAGGCUCAGUGUUACUAGCUGGAUCACCACUAGCUAUGAACAUCUUCAACCUGGUUUCUUCCUUUCACUUCUACUCCCCUCAUUUUAUUGGCCCCUUUCUGUCCCUUCAUCCCGAAAGGAAUCAAAAGAGUUCAUCAGGGGGACCUAAUUCUUGAUUUUUGUGUCUUGCCCUUUGGGCUGAGUUCCUCAGGGCCAGUGUUCUCUUUAGACUCAAAGGAACCUCAGUUACUUUGUCCUUGUGAAACUCCUCAGCUUUGUGAACAUGAUUCCUAAAUAUGACAACUUGCCCAUUUAUCAGCAGAGUUCCAGCCAGAAGGCACCAGGUCUUUCUACCCAAGAAUCCCUUCACAUGUCUGCCUCUGUUUCCAGUCUGCACCCCAGACUGAUUUACUUGGGAAUGGUGUCCGAAGGGGACAUGCCUAUAGCAAUGAAGAGGAAUGGGUACAAAAGCGCCUAGUGCUAUUAAAGAGACCUACCAUAUUAGACCAAAGGAGUCUUUAUAAGAACACUUGAGUUGGGCUGGAAUGGAUCAUCCAUCUAACCAGUGAAACAAGAAAUCAGAGGAAUGCCCGCUGCAGCCAUGAAACACAUUUCAGACUGAAAUGGAUUCCAUCUUCAUCCUGUCGACCAGAGAAAUUAUUUUAAAAUUGUUUCUGCUAUUAUUGCUUGCAUUAUUAUUAACAUUUUAUUUCUGUCAUUAUUGCUGCAGUUUUUGUUAUUUUAUUUCUGUUGUUAUUGCAGCUAUUAUACUAUUCAACAGAAGUUUAGAAAGAUUAGUCAGAUUAAUUAGUUUAUUGGUAAUUUAAAGCUGAAAACUGGUAAUUAAGCCAAAAAACUAAAAAUGAUCAGGGAUGAUUCAUACCAAUGUAGGAUUUGGGAGGAAGAGAGUCUAAAUUUUGGAUAUAAAACUUGGCAGCUGUGAAAUAAACAGGACUUGGGGAUCAAAAAUAUGAUAAUUGAAACAUUCUUAGUCACUCAACCUCUCCCCCUCCUCCAAAUUCAGCUAAGAUCAUUCUGUGAUUUGCUUGAUAGAGGAAAAAUACUAUAUUUGCUUUUGUUGACAGAGAACAAAGACCCCAUGUUUAUUCUUCAUGUGAUUUGCAUUUGCACGUGGAUUCCCUUGCUUAGGACCAUCCAAAUAUCUAAGCUCACUCCCCUCCAAGUUUGCCUCUCUUUGCUCUUGUUAUGCACCUCACUGGAGAGGGUGCAUCAUAUAAGACAGGUAUACAAUUUCAGCCCUCUCCACAGACAGAUUCUGUGGAAUAUAAAUUCAAUAAUGCAAUUCUCUCCACAACAAGCUCUCUGCUCUCUUUCAAAUAUAAUUAAUGUUUUGAUAGUGUAGUUCUUUAACUACAUAUAUACACACAAAAACAGACGCACCCUCUAGCUUUGCUGUUUGUGCAUUUAAAACAGACAUGGAUGUGGCUCUUUCAGUGACUCCUAAAAUUCCUCAACUCAGUCAGCCCACAGAGAAGAAAUCUGUUUAGGUAAUAACUGCACAGUCUGUUGUGUGCCCAGAAAUAUUUAAAACAAUAAAAAAUGCAAGCCCCUAGUUUUUGAUAGUCAUUUUUUGUCAAAUUUCCUAGAAAAUAAAGGAUUUUCGGAAUUGAUAUUCUGAUAGAGACAUUCACUAGAUAACAGUCAAAAUCAACAAAAACACAGUCCUAAACUACUGGUUGUCUUUUCCAAGUUUUGAUGAUGGAAUCUGAAUUUCAAUACCUUCCAUUUUAUCCAAUUGGUGCUAAAUUAACACAGAUGUAUAAAAACUAGCAGCCAAAAUAGACAAAACUACAAUGACUUCCAUAGAAAUUGCUUACUCCAUCAAACACCUCAGUCAUGUUUUAGGUGGAUUAUUUCAUUUAACUGCAAUUGGUUGUAUGUUAACAUAUUCAUAUGUGAAAUAGAUGGUCAGAAAGAAAGAUAUGCCUAUGACAAUAUGGCUAGUAGGAGUUAAGUGAGCAAACGCUGCUAACUCCCAUAUUCAAGUGUACCAUAUCCCUAACAUUUCAUUUCUACAAGCUGAUUACAAUUAUUAGGGGACAAAUAACCUUUCAGACUAUAGAACGUGAUAUAUUUUCAGACUUUAAUAAAGAAAAAUACAUAACCUGUAAUACUUAAUCCAAUGAAAAUAUAAACCUUAAUCUUCCCAUAUUGUUACUGAGUUGAAGAAGCUAGUUAUUGGGGAGUAACACACUGAUUUCCAAGCAUCUUGGCCAUUUUGUUUUACUCAUGAGUGUGUAUGAGGUGCUGGCAGGGGAAGGAUUUUACACUUUUCUCUUCACCAAAUUUUUAGAGAGAAUAUGUAAAAGGGAUUUCUGUUACAUCUUUUGUGGUUUAAUUUUCUUACUCUUCAUGUAGUAUUUGGUGUUUGGAAUUGUGAAAGAAGAUAAAAUAAUGAACAAGGAAAGGAGAACAUGUGGCUGAUUCCAAGUAGAUCGUUUAACUGGAUGGAAAGAAACAAAAAUAUUUUCCUAGUGCAGUUGUGCAAAGAAAGAGAAGAGUGUGUGAUCUGUCAAGAGCUCACUUGUGCUUUUUGUUAUUGUUUUAGAUGGUGGCCCAUCAGGGUUCCUUUCCCAUUACUUUCCUUCAAAUUGUUUUUCUUAAGAGCAUAAAAUGUGGAAACUACUUGUCCCUUCAUUCUCUCACAGGCUAAUAUUUAACAGAAAACAUUUUAGUUAAAUUUU